GUGUUAGCUCAGUUGGUUAGAGCAUGGUGCUGAUACAGUGGUACCUCGCAAGACGAAUGCCUCUCAAGACAAAAAACUCGCAAGACGAAAGAGUUUUUCGUUUUUUGAGUUGCUUCGCGAGACGAAUUUCCCUAUGGGCUUGCUUAGCAAGAUGGAAACGUCUUGCAAGUUUGUUUCCUUUUUCUUAAAACCGUUACAGUAAUACAGGAUGCAUUGCUUGAAGAGGUGCAGUUGCGACUUGACUUCGGGGAGCAACUCAUAGCACGCGGUGUGGUAGCCUUUUUUGAGGUUUUUGAAGAUUUUUUUGAAAAAAAUGAAACCGUGCUUCGCAAGACGAAAAAACUCGCAAGAUGAAAAAACUCGCGGAAUGAAUUAAUUUCCUCUUGCGAGGCACCACUGUAAUACUAAGGUUGCAGGUUCUAUCCCUGUAUGGGACA